rnacentral:rRNA from 1 species
CCUACGGGAGGCAGCAGUGGGGAAUAUUGCACAAUGGGCGCAAGCCUGACCCAGCAACGCCGCGUGAAGGAAGAAGGCUCUCGGGUUGUAAACUUCCUUUGUCAGGGACGAAGCAAGUGACGGUACCUGACGAAUAAGCCAUGGCUAACUACGUGCCAGCAGCCGCGGUAAUACGUAGGUGGCAAGCGUUAUCCGGAUUUACUGGGUGUAAAGGGCGUGUAGGCGGGACUGCAAGUCAGAUGGGAAAACCACGGGCUCAACCUGUGGCCUGCAUUUGAAACUGUAGUUCUUGAGUACUGGAGAGGCAGGCGGAAUGCGUGGUGUAGCGGUGAAAUGCGUAGAUAUUAGGAAGAACACCGGUGGCGAAGGCAGUCUGCUGGACAGCAACUGACGCUGAGGCGCGAAAGCGUGGGGAGCGAACAGGAUUAGAUACCCUAGUAGUC